AGCAGCCGCGGUAAUUCCAGCUCCAAUAGCGUAUAUUAAAGUUGUUGCAGUUAAAAAGCUCGUAGUUGAAUUUCGGGAUCAAUACGUCGGUCGUGCUUCGGUACGUACUGGCGUAAUUGAUUUCUCCCUUCUGACGAACCAUGAUGUCAUUAACUUGGUGUCAUGGGAAAUCAGGACUGUUACUUUGAAAAAAUUAGAGUGUUUAAAGCAGGCUCACGCUUGAAUACAUUAGCAUGGAAUAAUGAAAUAGGACGUUCGAUCCUAUUUUGUUGGUUUUUAGGAUCAACGUAAUGAUUAAUAGGGAUAGUUGGGGGCAUUAGUAUUCAAUUGUCAGAGGUGAAAUUCUUGGAUUUAUUGAAGACUAACUACUGCGAAAGCAUUUGCCAAGGAUGUUUUCAUUAAUCAAGAACGAAAGUUAGGGGAUCGAAGACGAUCAGAUACCGUCGUAGUCUUAACCAUAAACUUUGCCGACUAGGGAUCGGAUGAUGUUAAUUUUUUUAAUGACUCAUUCGGCGCCUUA
rnacentral:rRNA from 1 species